CUUCCCUCCCGAGGCCCCCACCUCGCCACCGCCUCCCAUUGUCCCGUCGCCCUCGAAACUCUCCCAGAGACGGGCGAGUUGUCCACCUGUGCAGGUCUGAACUGACUUCCUGUGCCAGGGCCUCGCCUGAGCGGGGGCAGGAAGCUCACCCUUGCAGGUCUCCCCGCGCCAACGGACGCCCUGAGGCCUGACCCUGGCUGAGGCAGAGCACCCAGCUCCGUGGACCGGGACGGACGGGCUCAGGUGCCCCCCAUUCCUUCCGAAGCCGGUUCACACCCACCCGGGCCUGGCACAGGGGAGGCGCUGGCUGCAGGGUCGGGGCGGGAGCAGCCUCAACCCGGCUCCUGGGCCGCGGCCGCAGCAGUGGAACCUGUCGGGGCAGCAGGCCUUCUAGAAAGUUCUCUCCAGAAGCAGCCACCGCCGUCCUGAGGCACUUUGUGCGGAGACGGGAAGCUGUCGCCUCAGAGGUGGGUGCGUAGAAGGGUUUGGCCGGGUGCGAGGAUGACCGCGUCUCCCUUGGGCUCUGGAGUCUGCGGUGGGAAGGGCUUGGUUUCAGCACCCUCUGGUCAGAGGCCGGCCGAGCCCAUGGGCGGUGAGGUUGGUGCCUGGGGUCGUGGCUGGUCUGGUACAGGUGGGGCUCAGCCCGGAGAAGCUGGAGCCGGUUCCCAGGCCCCGCGCUAUGACUGGGGUGGGGGCAACGUCUCUCGUGAGGUUUUUUACUUAAAUGUGAAACGGCUCAGUACGGUGGCCGCAGCCGGGAACAAGGUCCGACCCACCGAGGCCCAGCCUUGAACUUGCCGCGGGGGCACCUGAACACGGUUUUACAGCCCGGAUCACUGGCUUUCUUGAAGUUUGGGAACUGAUUGAUCAUGGUGGCGGGAGGUAAGGUUCAUUGUUCUUGAUGAACAAAAUUCUUAGGGCGUGAAGAGCCGAUGCUUUAAUUAACCCCCCGGGAGCGUCUCAGGCCUCCCCCCGGGAGCGUCUCAGGCCCCGUUUACGCUGAGUGUCUGGGGAAAGACGUGGUUUGGUUUUGUUUUUCUAGUAACCCAGAUGAAAUGUUUAAAAGCAUGGUUGGCAGCACAUUGAAUUUGGCAAAAUUAAGGUUUGCAUUUGUGAAAAUGCGGAUGCAGUUUGCGGUUCUUUUCAGACAUUUUGGUAAUUUGCAAAUACUUAUUUGCGAAACGAGUUUGUCAGAACAUUUUUUAGUAUCUAGAGGAAGAUGAGAUGGGCCGAGGAGGUCGCGCACCCCUGGAUCCCUGGAGGAGCUGGUGUGUUCUCUGUGGGGCGGGUGGACGUGGCCCGGACACACGGGCCGUGCUCACAGCCGGCCUGCGAGGGCUGCAAAUCCACGCCCGCCGUGUGGGUGAAAUGGCGGCUUUGCCUCCCAGACGCGUAGCUCCGGCGACGCAGAGGGAAGAACCUGAGUGCCCGCCAGGCCGAGCUCCGCACCCCACCCCCCGGCAGCCUCUGACUCCCGGCUCGGCUCCCGCGGUCGGGGAGGGUUGGAUUUCACACUUUGUUCUCGAGGCCGCACCAUUGAUUAAGCCCGUCGGGCAGGUUAACCAACAAGUUAGGUUUUCACGCCGGGAUCACAUUCCUCGCCGGGCGCUCCCACCCCACCCCAGCCUGUGCAGGUGGGACCCGGCCAGGCAGGCGGGCAGGGCGGCCAGGUGCGCCGAGGGGCGCCUCCACGGGGAGUGUGCUCCGCAGAGAACCCCUUGCUGGGGCGGCUCUGGGCCUCCUGACUCACUCCUGGAUUUUCCCAAGCUGAGUCUGGCCCCGCGGUGAUGAUUAACCCAACACCUCAACCGGCACCGCCACGCUAGCUCCACUUCCCGGCGACGGUUGACAAGAAAGCGCCGCGUGGGGCUCUCGGAAAACAGGGAAGGUCCGUUUUCGCUUUUCAUUUCUUGACCUGUGGCCACGGUAAGACUCGGCCGCCUGCCCACCCGACUCCUUGCCCCUCACCCCUGUGCCAGGCACAAGGCCCUGCGAAAUCCUUGGUCCCCCAGCUGAGCCUGCCGGCCCAGGCCACCAUCUCCCCACCCAGCCCUGGAGCCAGGGUCGGCCUCUCCUGCUAGCUGCUCGUUGGCUUUACAGCUUCUGCACUCAGGAGGCGCCUGGGAAUCCUGCCCUGGAACUUAGGAAGGAGGCUUCUCCCACCUGCCUGCCACACGGGUCUGUCCCUGGGUCCCAGCCUCUGCCGUGUGCCCCUCAGCCUCCCGGGUGAGAACGCAAUGACUGAUGAGCCUGGGGUGGCCAGGCCAGCUCUGGCCCUGUGGGGUUCCUGAGAAGGCUGGCCCUGGGUGGCCAAGGGCCUGGGGACACUGGCCCCGGGCCCUGAACCUGGCAGUGGGAGGCCGGCCCGUCCGCCGGGUGGGCUGGGAACUGUGUUUGGCCCCAGCUGCAAGGGACGAGUGCCGGGCACCUGCUGCCCUCCCCACGUGACCUGGCAGCCAGGAAUGGAGCUGAAAUUCAACUCUGCUCUGAACGGGAAGUCUUAGUUUCCUUUAGCUCAGAAAACAGGUGAAAUUGUGUUCCUGAAGCACUGAUUUGAUGGGAUUUGAUGGCAUUGGUGGCGAAGGCCUGUGAGGUGAUGGAAAGGGAAAGCCGGGUGCCCUGGAGCCUGACAGGCUGGGGCCAGGGCAGGGGACCUGGUGUGGGGUCUCCGGAGAGGGUCCAGGCGUGAGGGAAGCUGGGUCAGGACCUCGGAGACGUGGCCUUUGGAGGAGGAGACUGGAACCGGGUGGACCCGGCAGCAGGCGGGGGCGGGCGGACACGACCUUUGUUGUGGUCGGCGGGCAGACAGGGGAAUCGGCACAGGGCCUGCGCCCCACCUACAGCCUCUGUGGGUGGAAGGUGCCAGAAAACUUGAAGAGUGGCUCUGGCCAGCUCUCUGGGCCCAGUUGGCACCAGGUGGUUGCAGAGAAAGGGUGGGAAGGAGGACAGGAAGGACGGCGUGUCCAGCGGGCGGGGAGCCUUGGUCUGGCCUGAGGGCUGAACCUCCCUCGGGUCCUGAGUGUGCCUGGAGUAGAAGCCUAGGGUCUCUGGGCUCCAGGCAGGGCCCUGAGCAAGGAGGGGCCACAGGGCUGCCCACUUCCUCCUGCCCCCCUGCAGAGGCGGCUCAGCCCUCGCGGCGUCUGAGGCUUGACUGCCUGUGUCUGUGUUUGUGGCCGGUCUGCCUCUGUGCCUGGGUCAGACCCCAGACCAGCAGACACACAAACCGCAGGGACGGCUGGGCAGGGUCAGGAGCCUGCCCCGCCCGCACCCCCACCCACACCCCCACCCCCACCCCCGCCUGCACCCCCUGCCCUCAGACGCUGUGCAGUGAGCGGGGCAGCAUGGGAGAGGGGUCUCCAGGUGGCGGGGACCGUUCUGUCUCGAGAGCCUCGCAGACACCGGGCCUUUGAGAAGAGAAGGGGCUGGGCAGGGAAGCAGCUCCUGGAACACCAUCCUGGAGACAGAGGCCCUUGUCCCCUGCCUCAGACAAGGCAGCACGUGGGGCCCGGGGGGCUGGGGCUGCUGUCCAGGCCUUCCUAUGGGACCACCCAGAGGGAAGGUCCCCCGCAGAGGGGUGGGGGCAGAGGGCCGAGCGGGGCGGGCAGAGGGCCCGUGUCAGCCCCACUCCGACCUAGUCCUCGGCCGUCUGGCCAGGACACUUCGGCCCCCCAGGUGCCCACCCCAGGACCCAAAGCUGGUGGCUGCUGGACUCGGCAGGGCUGGCGGGUGGGGCUCACCCGGGCCCCUGCCCUCCGGCGAUGCUGUCCUCAGUGCCCCAGGAGGACGAGGCCCCCCAGCUACUGAGCUUCCCAGCGAGUCCCAUGCAACCCUCAGCCGGGCGGCCCCCGGACCCAGCUCGGGCAGCCGUGGCCAUCUUACUGGGCAGCAUUGGAUGGAGUCAGGUCUCUAAUACUGCCUGGUAAUGAUGACGGCGGAGCCCUGCACGCAGCGACCGGCCGACCCCGUCCCGGCCCCCAGGGCCUCCCGCCGAGCCCCACACUCCCCUCCCACACAGCCCGCUCACCGGACCCCACCCCGUCCGGGCCAGAUGGCUCUGGGGAGAGUGACGGGGGGACGUGACCUUCGGAAGGGGGCUGGGGCGCCCCCCACCAGCAUCUCAGAGACCCCGGAAUGCAAGGCCUCCUGCAGCUGCACCCAGGGCGCCCCACAGUGAUCUGGGGAUUAGGACGCUCAGGUGUCCGGGCCCUGCCCACAGCGCCUGGGCGGGAGCUGCUGUCACACCCAGCAGGUGCGGGCCGAGCAGGACCCAACAGAGGGCUCAGGAGGGCAAGGCCCAACCGGGAGCCACGUGGAACCCAGAGGAAGCCGCCCCACCCAGCUUGGCCACAGCCAUCUUCCCUCCUGCCGGACAGGGUGGGCCGGCCACCGAGCAGACCAGUGCCCCCGCCUUGGUCCCGGGUCAGCAGCCCCAGGGUCCCCUUGCCCUGGAGGAAGCAGGGAGGGUGGGCCUGUGUGCAGUCUCAGGGCCCCCAAGCCCCUCUCCGCCAGCCCUGUCCGGUCCCGGCACCACCCCUGGCUGCUCACCGCUCCGGUUCUUCCCUGGGCUUCCACAGCAGCCCCUGCCUGCCUGGCGGGACCCCACGUCCCUCCCGGGCCCCUGUGAGCAUCUUACCGGACAGUGCUGGAUUUCCCAGCUUGACUCUAACACUGUCUGGUAACGAUGUUCAAAGGUGACCCGCCGCUCGCCGGGGACACCACCGAGGCACAUCCGGAGCUCCUACUCCAGGGAUGGGCUGGGGCGGAGGGCCGAGCGGGGCCAGCAGACGGGUGAGGGCGGAGGGCCGAGCGGGGCCAGCAGACGGGUGAGGGCGGAGGGCCGAGCGGGGCCAGCAGACGGGUGAGGGCGGAGGGCUGAGCGGGCGGCAGAGGGCCUGUGUCAGCUCCGAAGUCCAGCCCCCAGGGGAGGGGCCGGCCUCUGCCGGGGGUGCCCCCGGGGUCACUCACGCCCAGGCUGGGUCUGACACCUUGAGGACCCCUUGGUGCCUCCACAGGUGGCCUGGAGGGCAUCCUGCUCCCCCUCCCGGAGCCGCUGUGCCUCCCCCACCCAACCUCCCAGGCUGGGUUUUAGGGUGACCUGGCUCCAGGAAAGGCCAUAGGGCUGGGAUGCCAGGGCUGGAGAGGGAAGAGCAACAGUGGCCUCUCUCACGUGGUCCGGGCUCCGUGGAGGGUCUGCUGGGGGCGCAGGAAGGACAAGGUGGGUUCAGAUUCCCGAGCCCCACCAUGCAGGGGAGCGGGGACGCUCUGCGCUUGCCCUCUGAGGGACAAGGGGUCUCAUUCCUUCCCCCAGUCAACAAGAACAGGAACUUUGUCCAAAACCCACCAGGCCAGGAUGACCCAUUGUUUCAUCUUUUCCAUCUGCAACCAGGGCGCCUGGGACCGCACCCCCACACAAGGCCCCAGCCUGGGGAGGGGGCAGCCACCGGGGAGAGGCUGCCCUUCACUGUUACUCAUUAACCCGACCGAGCUUCAGGAAGCCAGCGAGGGGCUGCAGGGAACCUUUGCCAAGAGCAGGGCCUGGGUGACCAGGUGGCUCCCGGGUACCCCCACACAGCCAGGCUGGGCUGGGACCAGGUGCUGGGAUGGGGGCUGUCAGGGAAGUGCCUCGGGGGCUCGUUCUGCAGACCCAGGAGGGAUCAGGGCAGCUGCAGGAGGUGGCAGGAGCCGCCCCCGGGGCCUUCCCUUCACAGGCCCCGCAGACACCAGCCCAGGACCCGGAGGCCACCCACACCACCGCCGGCCGAUGGGCGUCUUACCAGACAUGGUUAGACCUGGCCCUCUGUCUAAUACUGUCUGGUAAAACCGUCCAUCCGCUGCCUGAUCACCGUUAGAGGAGAGAGCUGCCUGCCCUGCAGCUCAUCAGUGCAAAGCCGCCCGGUCUGGGGCUCUCAUGCCCCCCUCACUAUGGCCUGUGCCCAUCCGCAGCCCAUCAGUGCAAAGCCGCCGGGGUCUGGGGCUCUUGUGCCCCACCCUCGCCAUGGCCUGUGCCCACCCGGCCUCCUGGGGCCCUCGAGCUGUAGUCCCCGGGCAGAUGCUGUGGACCCCGUGCUAUCAGCCUGGCCCCUGGGGUCACAGUCACAGAUACCCGGAGCCCCACCCCACAGCCCCAGCCCCCUCGCCACCUGGGGAGGCUGAGACAGAAGCAGCUGGGCCCCCCAAAGUGCCUGAGCCCAGGGCACGGAGGAGCACAAAUGCCCAGCAGGGACAAUGUCACAGCGUCUCAGCGGCCAGGCAGCAGGACGCAGAGACCUCUGGGAGGUUCCCGGGGCCAGCCCUGGCCCUCCUCCUCCAGGGGCCAGCCGUGGGAUGCAGACCACACUCUCCCUCCAGGGCCCAUCUCUGGGGCUGAGGCGGGCGGGGCCGGUGCCCAGCUGCAAGACCAUGGGAUAGGGAAGGCAGGUGCUUGGGGCCACGCAGCCCUGCACUGGGGGCCCCUCCACCCCAGGCGGCUCACGAGGUGUCAUCUGGAGCUGUCCCCAAGCCGGGAUCUGCAGGUUGACCUCCCCCACCCGGGGCUAUCUCCAGACCCUCUUUCCUCCCUGGGGAGAUGGGGCAGUCCCCCGCAGGGCCAGCUGAAACCACCCCCAUGCUGCUGCCGCCUGAGCGACGUGUGUGGGGAAGAACUUGGAGUGCCACCCCCAGAAUGUGGCGUCCACCUCACCAGACCGCACGGGUGAGCCCUGGACUGCAAGGUGCAUAUAACACAAGGUUUGGACACACCUGGAGAGCUCGGGCCAGGCAGGGCCACACCUGUGAGCCUGAGCUCAUCCAACACCGCCCGGAGCUCGGGGACCUUCCCCAUCCCAGCACCUCCUCACCGCUGUGCCCGUCUGGCCAGUCCCUCCAAGCACCCCUCGGAUGAAGUUGCGCCCCACACUGCAGUGGGGCUCACUCUCCACAGCGCCUGCUGCGUUGCACGGGGUGUGACAGGAAGGACCCUGCUGGGGCUGGCGGGGCCGUACCCAGAGCCUCCCUGUGCGGUUUCUCCUCCUCCUCCUCCUCUCCAUAAGCACCGGGAACAAAACAGAAAAAAGUCUUUGUAUAGUAAUAAAGUCUGCAGUUCACGCA